GAUGAACGCUAGCGGCAGGCCUAACACAUGCAAGUCGAGGGGUAGAGGCUUUCGGGCUUUGAGACCGGCGCACGGGUGCGUAACGCGUAUGCAAUCUGCCUUGUACUGAGGGAUAGCCCAGAGAAAUUUGGAUUAACACCUCAUAGUAUUUUAGUGUGGCAUCACAUUAUUAUUAAAGGUUACGGUACAAGAUGAGCAUGCGUCCCAUUAGAUAAAUGGCGGGGUAACGGCCCACCAUGUCAACGAUGGGUAGCCGAGCUGAGAGGCUGAUCGGCCACACUGGAACUGAGACACGGUCCAGACUCCUACGGGAGGCAGCAGUGGGGAAUAUUGGGCAAUGGGCGCAAGCCUGACCCAGCAACGCCGCGUGAGGGAAGAAGGCUUUCGGGUUGUAAACCUCUGUCCUUGGUGACGAAACAAAUGACGGUAGCCAAGGAGGAAGCCCCGGCUAACUACGUGCCAGCCGCCGCAGUAAAAC
rnacentral:rRNA from 1 species